rnacentral:rRNA from 1 species
UACGUAGGGUGCGAGCGUUGUCCGGAAUUAUUGGGCGUAAAGAGCUCGUAGGCGGUUUGUCGCGUCGGCCGUGAAAACUUGGGGCUUAACCCCAAGCUUGCGGUCGAUACGGGCAGACUUGAGUUCGGCAGGGGAGACUGGAAUUCCUGGUGUAGCGGUGAAAUGCGCAGAUAUCAGGAGGAACACCGGUGGCGAAGGCGGGUCACUGGCCCGUUUCUGACGCUGUAGCGCGAAAGCGUGGGGAUCAAACAGG